CAUUUUCUUAAAUGUAUUGCAGGUACUGCUGUUGUGUCACAUAUGCAUCCAUAGGUGGCAGACAGGAGGGAGGCUAUGUCUGUACUUAAUGUUCUGUCCUCUGAACAUCUGAAUGAUUAGUAGCCUAAAAUU
ensembl:snoRNA LOC120103318 small nucleolar RNA SNORA17